AUUGAACGCUGGCGGCAGGCCUAACACAUGCAAGUCGAACGGUAACAGGAAGCAGCUUGCUGCUUCGCUGACGAGUGGCGGACGGGUGAGUAAUGUCUGGGAAACUGCCUGAUGGAGGGGGAUAACUACUGGAAACGGUAGCUAAUACCGCAUAACGUCGCAAGACCAAAGAGGGGGACCUUAGGGCCUCUUGCCAUCGGAUGUGCCCAGAUGGGAUUAGCUGGUAGGUGGGGUAACGGCUCACCUAGGCGACGAUCCCUAGCUGGUCUGAGAGGAUGACCGGCCACACUGGAACUGGGACACGGUCCAGACUCCUACGGGAGGCAGCAGUGGGGAAUAUUGCACAAUGGGCGCAAGCCUGAUGCAGCCAUGCCGCGUGUAUGAAGAAGGCCUUCGGGUUGUAAAGUACUUUCAGCGGGGAGGAAGGGAGUAAAGUUAAUACCUUUGCUCAUUGACGUUACCCGCAGAAGAAGCACCGGCUAACUCCGUG
rnacentral:rRNA from 1 species